rnacentral:rRNA from 1 species
UUGUUGCAGUUAAAAAGCUCGUAGUUGGACUUUAGGCAAGGCGGCCUGGUCACCCUCUGGGUGUACUGGGAUCGCUGCGCCUCACCUUCGGGGAGCUAGUCGUGCUUCGGUGCGCUAGGGAACCGAGCCUUACCUUGAGGAAAUUAGAGUGUUUAAAGCAGGCUUAUGCUUGAAUACGUUAGCAUGGAAUAACAUGAUAGGACUUUGGUUCUAUUUUGUUGGUUUGAGGACCAAAGUAAUGAUUAAUAGGGACAGUUGGGGGCAUUAGUAUUCAAUAGUCAGAGGUGAAAUUCUUGGAUUUAUUGAAGACUAACUAAUGCGAAAGCAUUUGCCAAGGAUGUUUUCAUUAAUCAAGAACGAAAGUUAGGGGAUCGAAGACGAUUAGAUACCGUCGUAGUCUUAACCAUAAACUAUGCCGACUAGGGAUCGGUGGAAGUCGAUUUUGACUCCAUCGGCACCUUACGAGAAAUCAAAGUUUUUGGGUUCUGGGGGGAGUAUGGUCGCAAGGCUGAAACUUAAAGGAACUGACGGAAGGGCACCACCAGGAGUGGAGCCUGCGGCUUAAUUUGACUCAACACGGGAAAACUCACCAGGUCCGGACAUGGGAAGGAUUGACAGAUUGAGAGCUCU